AAAACUUUUUAUUUUGAUACAGAUCUAUUCAAUAUUUUUCCUCCUAUAUACGUUCAUGAACAAUGAAAUGUCUCUGAUAAAACAUUUUCAUCUCAAAUGUUUCUCCAAAAACAAUGUUCGCGUUUGUUCCUCAUUUUUUUGGACAUUGUAUUUUUUGUUAUUCCUAAUAUGAGUGUAUAAUAGUGUAGAAAAGUGCACAAUAUUGUUCUACUCCCUCAUUCUGUUACUUUAGCUAUGACAGAAAAUUACACAAUAUUCUAUAAUAAAGUGUGUCUAUAUUGUAAUAUAAUCUACAGAGAAUUAAGUCGAAUGUCACGUUUGUAGUAAUCUAAGUGGUAUACUUUUAUAACUUACGUUGUGUUUCCGAAGUUAGUUGUGAAACUGCAAUUCUGAUUGUCAUGUGCAUUCCUUUAUGUUUAAUACAAUUAUUCUAACAGAGUAAAAUGAUGUAGAAGUUUUUAAUGCCUUGUUGUAUCGUCAUAUUAAGAUUGAAUAACCGGAAGUGAAAUCCUUGUAGCUGAAAGUUAGGGAUGAAUAAUCAUCUUUAUUUUGUAGAAGUUUUCUCCUUAUAAUCUCAAACUGCAUUAUGUCUAACAAUCUUUGAUAUGACAUAAAGGUUUUGAUAGGGGAAUCCUGUGAUACUUCUCCCAUUUUGAAAUAGUUAUGGAAUUUUAAAUACUAUAUAUGUCAAUGAUUGGUGAGACAACAAGAAUCAGCAAGCUAUAACCAGGUUGUUACAAGCACUGCUGGUUAAUACAAUCUUGUACAAGUUGUUCUAUCUCCUGGUAAAUACUCUUUAGUAUGACUAUAUAUUUAAUACUUGUUAAGUCUCUGUUAACUUGUAUCAUGUAUGUGUUUGUGAUUUAUCAUCCCUAGUUGGAAAGUCAUCCGUUGUCAAAAUUCAAUAGGAAAUGCAUAAUUGUUGUUCUCAGACAUUGAUAUUAUUCUUUGCUAAUUUAUUUCUUGAUUUCUAUAGAUUGGAAUUUACUAAUAUAAUCUGACUUGCUAAUUUAUUUCACAACUGAUUGUUUCCUGAAGAAAGGCGUGUUCCUUACAGUUUAUUUCUCUUUUCUCUUAUUCAGAUUGUUUCAUGUUCUGGUUUUAAAUUACAACAAAUACUGUCAAAUGCUUUGUCCAACAAUUAUUGCGGUAACUUGACAAGUUACGACAACCAGUGUAUCAAUGUCUAUCAUACAUAGUUUAUGUGCAUCUCUUUCAGCAGACAGUUGAAAGAGUUCCAUCUGUAAGUGUUGUGUUAUGUCGUCCGCUUGCACUUUAUCCAUUCUCUUCCUGCAGUUUCUGAUUCUAUCAACAAAUCAUGUCUUAUAUGUUAGCUUAUAAUGUUUUGUGGUCUUGGUUAUAGUGAUGUUCAUGUCUGAUGUGAUUGAAUAAGCUACUUGAGACCAUAUUUGGUUUCCACCAUUUAUGGCAAGGAUUCAGGUAAGCAUCUUUGUAAGUCUCAAUUUAAACAAUCCAAGCCUUCUUAUUGCAUUUGGAUGUUCAUUUAAGCUUACCAUAAGUGGUAUAAGCUAGCUUCCCUUCUUUCUAACAUGAUUGAAAUUAGUCUUUCAAAAAGAAAACAAUUAAGAAAACAGGAAUAAGAAAGCUGUUGUUUGCUAAUAAAGUAAGUUGUUGUUUGCUAAUAAGUGGUAUAAGCUAUAUAAGAGUGAGUACACAGUUUGCUAAUAAGUGGUAUAAGAGUGAGUAUAGGUGGUAUAAUGUGCUGUUUGCUAAUAAAGUUUAGAUGAAUAAUACAGUUAGAUAUGCAUUGUAUCGUAUCCUUCUUUAUUUUCAUAUAUUUUGUAGAUAUACAUCGAGGGAGAGACCGAGGUAGUGCAGUAUCUGUGGAUCGCGGACACUUCUUACUAUUUCUCCCACUUGGUUAGUCCAUGCUUGUACUGUUAUUUUUGAUAUAUGUUAUUGUUAUUUGCACAUCUUAAUGGGCUAACAAUGCGGAAACCCUUCAAGGCUUGAUUGAAGAAGUGGCUUAUUCCCACAUAUAUUGAGUAUGAUAAGGUUGGCAACGCAUAUGGUGUGAGGUUGUAUCAGUUUUCAACCUUUUCUUCUGUAUUGAGACAAAAAUGCAUUAACUCUUUAUGCGAUUGUUUUUGUGAAAGUAGGAAAAAGUCUCAAAAUUUAGGUGCUGGACAGUGAAUAAUGUCACAACAUCUACUGCAUUCAUAUUCUUAACUUGAAGUUUAUACUUGGAGAUGCUUCAAAAGUUUAAAUUAUCCUCUAGAAUAUGUUCCAUUUGUACUUGUUUUCUUUUUAAAUGGAAAUGAUGUGUGUCACUGGAGGUUGGAAGCCUAGUUGCUUCCUGUUUAGAUAUAAAGAUAAAACUCGUUUUGGUUCCUGGAACAUUUAUAGGGAGAGGCAAUGUUAUAUUCAGAUAAACAAGUAGACAAAUGAAGUUGGAAUUUUCCACUAGCCUAUUCAAAAAGUUAUAGAAGCUUUCCGACUUUUAUCCACAUUUUUCUACCCAAGUUGCUUCCUUUUCUCUAUGUUAUUUUUCAAUCUCAUUUUUAUACAAACGUCUUUUUGCCAAUUUUUUAAAUUGAAUAUAUUUUGUAUAAGCUGUUAAAAAGGGUCGAGAUCCAACGCCAAGUAAGAUACAUUUGCCCAUCCAUACACAUGGUAAUGAUGAAAAUCUUUUGUUGGUGAGAAAUCUUGAAUCGUACAUAAAAUAUUACAAUAACAAACAUAGAGUCAAUAUGAUAUUGAUCAGUGUAAAGCAUAUUACGAAGCUUUGGGAGGAGAAAAGAAAAGAAGAGUAUAUGGUCUUGGAUCUCAAGCAAAAUGCUACUACGUGCCGAAUUUUCGUGACUCUUUUGGAUCUGAUGCAAUAUCCUCAGCAAUACCUUUAAAUGCUCAAUCAACACCGAUAGAAAAUCUAGAUAAGUUAGUGACACGAUUGAUUUCUGUACUGACAGAUCAUAUAGUUCCUGUAAUUGUUAAGCGGGUACGCGAAUUAGUUUAUUUAUCCUCGCCAAAAUUGAUCUUA